rnacentral:rRNA from 1 species
AUUGAACGCUGGCGGCAGGCCUAACACAUGCAAGUCGGGCGCGAAAGUCUUCGGAUGAGUAAAGCGGCGGACGGGCGAGUAAUGCAUGGGAAUCUGCCUGGCAGUGGGGGACAACGUUUCGAACGAGACGCUAAUACCGAAUACGCCCUACGGGGGAAAGGGGGGGAUCUUCGGACCGCUCGCUAUCAGCUGAGCCCAUGUCAGAUUAGCUAGUUGGUAGGGUAAAGGCCUACCAAGGCGACGAUCUGUAACUGGUCUGAGAGGAUGAUCAGUCACACUGGAACUGAGACACGGUCCAGACUCCUACGGGAGGCAGCAGUGGGGAAUAGUGGACAAUGGGGGCAACCCUGAUCCAGCCAUGCCGCGUGUGUGAAGAAGGCCCUAGGGUUGUAAAGCACUUUCAGUGGGGAGAAAGGUUGUUCAGUUAAUACCUGAAUGAAUUGAUGUUACCCACAGAAGAAGCACCGGCUAACUCCGUGCCAGCCGCCGCAGUAA